rnacentral:rRNA from 14 species
GCGACCCCAGGUCAGGCGGGAC